CGCGGGAUAACGUGUUGUGGCCAGGAUUGUGAAAUAGGAACAGGAAGCGAGUCGACGAGCGCGCAGCAGCGCGUUGUGUUGAGUCAGUGGGACACAAGCACCUUACGGUUGCACAACGGGGGCCGUCCAGCAGGUGAUCUAUGCAUUAAUGACCAUAAACACUCUGGGAACCAGAUGGUGUGGACAAGAAUGGGAUGCCUUUGCUGAGUAUGUUGUGGUUUACUUCCUGUAAAUCAGCCACGUCUCCCCCGUCCAGCAGGUGGCGCUAUUCUGCAGGGCCACAGUCUAGUUUCAAACACAGGAGCAAAUCACUGAGCACAAAAACGGAAACUGUCCCUGAGACCAAGAGGCCAGAGAGAGCUGCAGUCACAGAAGAUGGACUUUGUAUUUUAUAAGUACAUAUAGUGUAAACAAGGAGUGCUGGCUUUUAUGUGACUGGGAAACUCACAUUAAAGUGUUGUUUGUUUUGGUUUUGAUAAACAUCCCAAAUUUUUAGGUGGCAUUUACAUUGAGUUGCUAGUACUUGAUCUCUGUAGUAAUGCAGUUGUGCAGAGGUAUCAACAACACUGAAUGAAGACCAAAUUGUUGCUGCUGAAGUGUAUACUUCACAAAAUCUGCCUUGAUCUGUCUGAUUAUUUGUUCAUUUCUGGUUUUAUCCACUGUGUCCCACUGCUAUUACCAUGGAUUAUUUCCACUCCUUCAUCCUCUUAUGAAUCCCAAAUUGAAGCAGAGUUUCUGUGGACUAUGAAAUCAGAUCUGCCGGCGCUGUUUACUAAUGGAAGAACAGUGUUUCCCCUCAGAGCACAAGUGCAAUGAGAACUUUGAAAGUGGAGCGUGAGGAGAGAAAAGUGAGGGAGCAGAAUCUGGGUGACCUCAACCUCACCACAAAAUAAAAUGGUUUUUGACGCGGCCGACGCUGAACCCAGAUCUGCAACGCACAACAUUAGCUGUGAGAUGCUGUGUCUGAUCCGUGGUUCGCUCUCUUGAGGUUUGUUUAGGUUCGUAGGUUUGUUGUUGUUGUUUUGAAGAAACCAAAACCCCUGAGACGGACCCGCUGCCGGCAGAAACAGCCAUUCACCAGCACCAGAGCUGUUAAACGCAGUCCUUCAUUUCUUAUUGUUCAUUAGAGGGACGAUUUUUCAAUUUAGCGACCAGGAAAUCAAUAGACUAUAGACAAAGCAACUGACCAACGUAAACACUCCCCAUAGCCAGUACCAUGCAUCCUGGGCCAGUCAGACCCAGAAAUAUACCAGUUCAUCUGCACUUUGUCGCUCUGAGGGUUCGGAGAGGGGAAAUGUGGGGGGUCACAGAGGCUGUGGGCAGAAUCAAUAUUGUGAUUGCUCACCUGCGAUAUCAGCCCCGGGCAGAAAAAAUGACUCAGCCUUGUCUGUCAUAUAACAUUACCCCAUUACCUCAGACCCUGAACUGAUUUUGACAGAGAUACAGUAACUUGUUGUCAUGGAAAUCCAGGCCUCGUCGAGGUAAUGGGCUGAAAACAGCUUGGAUUAUCCAUUACUGUAACUUAGGGGAACAGAGUUGUUUAUCGUCUGUAUCUGUGUUGUUCACUUCCAGCAGUUGCACUCAAGGGCACGCGUUGAAUUAAGCGGAAACAUCACUGUGAUUUCAUGUUUUUAUGUAUGACCGGAUGCUUUUAUCGAUAGCAGGCUGUAAGUAAAUCCAGGUGUCCGACUCUCCUCUGGGUUUAAUGGUUCCUAUAGGCACACAGCGGUUUUCAUUCAUCCUUAGCCUUAAUUCAGAUUUUAUAUGGCUUUUGAUAAAGAGCAACAAAUCACAUAAAGACUUUUAUACAAGAAAAAAUGAUUUAAUUUGAAGCAGAAAUAAAUGUUGAACAUCUGCACCA